AAAAAUGUACAUCUUGGUACUUUGUUCUUUAAUGCCCUCCAGUGUUAACUAUUGUAAUUGGAAACAGAUUGUGAGUCAUCAGGUAAGGGUAAAGAGCUAUCUUACGCUUAAACAUUGAGGUAUAUGAAUGAGACCUGGGAGCGUGAGCAGAUCACUGCACCAUGUAGCCUCAGUUUUGCUACUGUAGACACACAUUCUUUCCUGUAGACACACUUGGAAACAGUGGAGAUAAUACAGUGGAAAUGUUAGCUAAAUUCACAACAGUGAAGAAAUAUUUUCAAGUGCUGAAAAAUUAAAGUGAACUAUAAACCAGAGCAACACAGUCCCUCACCUGAUUUUUUAAAAAUCCAGAUUCUCGGGUGGACUGGAUUUUAAAGACUUCACAUGUCUCAUUUGUAAGAGCUGUACCUAAGAAAUGAGGGUACAGAAGAAGUAAAUGCACCAGGUAAAUAUUAACCAAAAGAAAGCCAACAUCACUAUAUUAAUGCAGACAAAUAAUGUCUAAGCCCAAGAAUAUUAGCAGACAUAGG
rnacentral:lncRNA from 1 species